AUGAAAUAUCUUUCCAUAAUUAUAAUACAUAACUGAUUAUCUAAAUCAAUAAAAAUUAUGCAUAAUUGUUUUAAAUGGGGGAGACCGGGUAGAUAUCUGCUGCCUCUCUCUACAUAAGGAAAGAUUAGAACUGUUUUUUACAUUUUGAUCUUGAUCACCAUUCUCCCUUUCAUUCUUCUAUUGGCCCAAACAGGUAAAACAACAGAAACCCGUUACCAUCUCUACUUUUGGUUCCAUUGCCUCAGCCAAGCCAUCCAGGUGAGGGUUAAUAAACAGAGAACACCAGGAGAGGGUCCAAAUAAAGUGAGAACUGUAAAGACGAAGCCCAAUUCUGCAAAUGCCUCAGCCAGAAAGAAUGCUCUUAACAGCCUACAAGCAGGCAUGUGCUUACCAGCAAACUAAAGUAAAUGGAAAUCAAGAAGCAUAUUCACCACCAGCAAGGUGCUGCUGACCUAUAAGCCUUCAGAUGGUCAGAUAAAGUACCUGAUGCUGAAAAGCAGGAAAUUGAAUCGUGUCUCCAAAAUGUGCCUUUUGUCAUGCGCUGUUACAGCUACAUUUCUUGCUCUUUAGGCCUUAAUGAUUGACAUGAUUUUGGAGAUCAGUUGGUAUGUAGCAAAACGCUCCUAGAAACCUGGAAGAUGAGGCAAGAGGAAAACAUGGAGCCCUUUCUGCAUAAGCCUAUGAGAGAAGAAGAAUCACUUCAAUUUGUAAGUGUGGAUCCUGGGGGCUGAAAAACUUACCUAAGACCAUACAGCCAGCAAAUUACUGACCCAGCAUAUUCUGAACCCAGGCCUUUGUUCUUUCCAAGACUUCACAGUGUCUUCCUUAGAGUAUAUCUGCAUGAAAAUCAUGUUUAAAGAAGUGAUCUGUGGUGUCACCAUUUGUAUCAAAAUGAUAUCACAAACUUAUUUAAAAGUCUUUAUCUAAAAGUCUUCCUAACAGUUAUAUCUUUGGCCAGGGGAGACCUCUAAUAUCACACAUUAAUAACCCUACCUUUGUAACAUGUAAAUUGUUUUUUGUUUUACCAUCUCAGUUUCAUUAAACUGAGACCA